CGAGCGGAUGAGUUGCGAACGGGUGAGUAACGCGUAGGUAACCUGCCUCUUAGCGGGGGAUAACUAUUGGAAACGAUAGCUAAUACCGCAUAAAAGUCGAUAUCGCAUGAUAUUGAUUUGAAAGGUGCAAUUGCAUCACUAAGAGAUGGACCUGCGUUGUAUUAGCUAGUUGGUGAGGUAACGGCUCACCAAGGCGACGAUACAUAGCCGACCUGAGAGGGUGAUCGGCCACACUGGGACUGAGACACGGCCCAGACUCCUACGGGAGGCAGCAGUAGGGAAUCUUCGGCAAUGGGGGCAACCCUGACCGAGCAACGCCGCGUGAGUGAAGAAGGUUUUCGGAUCGUAAAGCUCUGUUGUAAGAGAAGAACGAGUGUGAGAGUGGAAAGUUCACACUGUGACGGUAACUUACCAGAAAGGGACGGCUAACUACGUGCCAGCAGCCGCGGUAAUACGUAGGUCCCGAGCGUUAUCCGGAUUUAUUGGGCGUAAAGCGAGCGCAGGCGGUUAGAUAAGUCUGAAGUUAAAGGCUGUGGCUUAACCAUAGUACGCUUUGGAAACUGUUUAACUUGAGUGCAGAAGGGGAGAGUGGAAUUCCAUGUGUAGCGGU
rnacentral:rRNA from 1 species